CCCCUUGGAGGCGUGGCUUCCGGAGCUAACGCGUUAAGUCGACCGCCUGGGGAGUACGGCCGCAAGGUUAAAACUCAAAUGAAUUGACGGGGGCCCGCACAAGCGGUGGAGCAUGUGGUUUAAUUCGAUGCAACGCGAAGAACCUUACCUACUCUUGACAUCCAGAGAACUUAGCAGAGAUGCUUUGGUGCCUUCGGGAACUCUGAGACAGGUGCUGCAUGGCUGUCGUCAGCUCGUGUUGUGAAAUGUUGGGUUAAGUCCCGCAACGAGCGCAACCCUUAUCCUUUGUUGCCAGCGAUUCGGUCGGGAACUCAAAGGAGACUGCCAGUGAUAAACUGGAGGAAGGUGGGGAUGACGUCAAGUCAUCAUGGCCCUUACGAGUAGGGCUACACACGUGCUACAAUGGCAUAUACAAAGAGAAGCGACCUCGCGAGAGCAAGCGGACCUCAUAAAGUAUGUCGUAGUCCGGAUUGGAGUCUGCAACUCGACUCCAUGAAGUCGGAAUCGCUAGUAAUCGUGGAUCAGAAUGCCACGGUGAAUACGUUCCCGGGCCUUGUACACACCGCCCGUCACACCAUGGGAGUGGGUUGCAAAAGAAGUAGGUAGCUUAACCUUCGGGAGGGCGCUUACCACUUUGUGAUUCAUGACUGGGGUGAAGUCGUAACAAGGUAACCGG
rnacentral:rRNA from 1 species